rnacentral:lncRNA from 1 species
CUUUAAACUCUUCAGCCCCGUGUUUUCUGAUUUUAUCUACAGGCGGCUUAUAUAAUCUCAGCGGAUCACUUACUUAAGAUACAUCAGGCAUCAAAGAUGGAUGAAUUGGGGGUGGAGGUUGCUGCGCAGCUGGGUUAGUCUGGAUAUAUUUAGUAAACCCAUCAUUCAUCAUUUGAUAAAAGGCUUGUCUAGCCUCUCCUUCCUGGUUACUCGAAAUUGGUCGAGAAUCAGUCGGCG